rnacentral:rRNA from 1 species
GGCUUAGGAGGGUGGGCACGACCCCCCAAGAGCCGAAAACUUGGGUCAAACUGGGUCAUUUAGAGGAAGUAAAAGUCGUAAACAAGGUUUCCGUAGGUGAACCUGCGGAAGGAUCAUUACUGAGUGAGGGCCUUCUGGGUCCAACCUCCCACCCGUGUUUAUUUACCUUGUUGCUUCGGCGGGCCCGCUUUAACUGGCCGCCGGGGGGCUUACGCCCCCGGGCCCGCGCCCGCCGAAGACACCCUCGAACUCUGUCUGAAGAUUGUAGUCUGAGUGAAAAUAUAAAUUAUUUAAAACUUUCAACAACGGAUCUCUUGGUUCCGGCAUCGAUGAAGAACGCAGCGAAAUGCGAUACGUAAUGUGAAUUGCAAAUUCAGUGAAUCAUCGAGUCUUUGAACGCACAUUGCGCCCCCUGGUAUUCCGGGGGGCAUGCCUGUCCGAGCGUCAUUGCUGCCCUCAAGCACGGCUUGUGUGUUGGGCCCCGUCCUCCGAUUCCGGGGGACGGGCCCGAAAGGCAGCGGCGGCACCGCGUCCGGUCCUCGAGCGUAUGGGGCUUUGUCACCCGCUCUGUAGGCCCGGCCGGCGCUUGCCGAUCAACCCAAUUUUUAUCCAGGUUGACUC